GACGAACGCUGGCGGCGUGCCUAAUACAUGCAAGUUGAGCGCUGAAGGUUGGUACUUGUACCAACUGGAUGAGCAGCGAACGGGUGAGUAACGCGUGGGGAAUCUGCCUUUGAGCGGGGGACAACAUUUGGAAACGAAUGCUAAUACCGCAUAAAAACUUUAAACACAAGUUUUAAGUUUGAAAGAUGCAAUUGCAUCACUCAAAGAUGAUCCCGCGUUGUAUUAGCUAGUUAGUGAGGUAAAGGCUCACCAAGGCGAUGAUACAUAGCCGACCUGAGAGGGUGAUCGGCCACAUUGGGACUGAGACACGGCCCAAACUCCUACGGGAGGCAGCAGUAGGGAAUCUUCGGCAAGAGACGAAAGUCUGACCGAGCAACGCCGCGUGAGUGAAGAAGGUUUUCGGAUCGUAAAACUCUGUUGGUAGAGAAGAACGUUGGUGAGAGUGGAAAGCUCAUCAAGUGACGGUAACUACCCAGAAAGGGACGGCUAACUACGUG
rnacentral:rRNA from 1 species